UACGGGAGGCAGCAGUGGGAAUAUUGCACAAUGGGCGCAAGCCUGAUGCAGCCAUGCCGCGUGUAUGAAAAAGGCCUUCGGGUUGUAAAGUACUUUCAGUCGUGAGGAAGGUGUUAAGGUUAAUAACCUUAGCAAUUGACGUUAGCGACAGAAGAAGCACCGGCUAACUCCGUGCCAGCAGCCGCGGUAAUACGGAGGGUGCGAGCGUUAAUCGGAAUUACUGGGCGUAAAGGGCACGCAGGCGGUUAAUUAAGUUGGAUGUGAAAGUCCCCGGGCUUAACCUGGGAAUGGCAUUCAAGACUGGUUAGCUAGAGUCUUGUAGAGGGGGUAGAAUUCCAUGUGUAGCGGUGAAAUGCGUAGAGAUGUGGAGGAAUACCGGUGGCGAAGGCGGCCCCUGGACAAAGACUGACGCUCAUGUGCGAAAGCGUGGGGAGCAAACAGGGAUUAGAUACC
rnacentral:rRNA from 1 species